rnacentral:rRNA from 1 species
GACGGAGGAUGCAAGCGUUAUCCGGAAUUAUUGGGCGUAAAGCGUCCGCAGGUUGUUAGUCAAGUCUGCCGUUAAAGCUCGGGGCUCAACUCCGAAAAGGCGGUGGAAACUGGCUGACUAGAGUACGGUAGGGGUAGAGGGAAUUCUCAGUGUAGCGGUGAAAUGCGUAGAGAUUGGGAAGAACACCAGUGGCGAAAGCGCUCUACUGGACCUGUACUGACACUCAGGGACGAAAGCUAGGGGAGCAAAAGGG